AUGGAAUCUUAAGCAAUUCAUUUGCUAGAACUUGUUUUUCCAAUUGUUAUGUAACACGAAAAGUGUUCAUAAUGUGCUUUAAGAUUCUUAGCUCAAAGAGUAAUGGCUAUGUUGCUUCCUGCUUGUCUGUUAAUAAUUCGAAUUCUAUUUCCCUUUAAGAUAGCUUAAUUUUGGAAGAGUUGGUGUGUUUUUGAAGACUUCUACAUUGUAAUGAUUUUGAUGCAGUAGUGUAGAUUAAUGCAAGCAAACACUAUUAAUGAGUGCAAUCCAAAAAUGAAAAUUUGUACAACUUAGUAGAUCGUAGAGGCUUUUUGUGUUUGUUGUUUGGCUGUUUGCUUUUUACUUUUAUUUCAAAUUAAGGAGUCACCAUGUAAAACUAUAAAUACACAAAAUCCUUUCAACAGCUUAAAAGGAUGAACAUUUCAGAAGUUUUCCGAAUUCAAGUCAAGAUAAAGAGAAGUAAGCAAAAAACUCAGUAACACAGUAUUUGAACAGUAUGAUUCAGACAAGAUAGAGACCCCCUUCCAACAGAAAAAAAGGACAAAUGGCCCGCCUGGAGCGUUUCUGUGAGCUUCCUAAGAACGGAUCCGGAGUCUCUUUCCCUAUGAUUUUUUCUUGGCUUCAUUUCAGAGAGAUGGACACACACUGCAGGGACUGACAGAGAACUGUCACAUCGUCAGUGAUUACUGCACAAAGGACUCUGACUUUGCUGCUCACACGCUUCAGGCACUUUCUGUGAAUUCAAUGAAGAGACAAGAAAUAGAAAUUGACAGUUAUGGAGCUGCUGAAAAGUCUCUCUUCUUCAAUACCUCAUACUGAAAUGUGAAUACAUUUCUUUCUUUAGAAUGGCUAAUGGAAGAGGCCUUAACUGGUCACACUAUCUCCUAUUGUGUAUUUUGUAUGUAUUCUUCCUGUACUCCAUUUAUAUUUUUUAAGACCUUGAUUGACUCUGAAGGACCCCCAAAUCUCAGCCAAACUUAAAAUUCUUCGUUGCAGACUGUCAACUAUCUGGGUAUUCAACAAUAUGGAAACAAAAAUCAAUGGACUGUUUCUGUCAUAAUGUAGAUAUUUGGUAUGCCAUAAUCAUGGUCUUCUUUCAUCUUCUCUGUGUUGAAUUCAACCUGUGACUAGUGCUGCUAAGUCCACUGUCUUGCAGUGUUUAAAAACAAAACAAAACAAAACAAAACCAAAACAGGACUCCCUGACCUUGAGCCACCCUGCCUGGAAUGUGCUCAAUGGCAAGAGACCAGGGAGCAGCUGACUUUGCGCAGCACUGACUGUGCACUGGGGACCUGCCUGCGCCUCACACACUCUGCCCUUUAACCCUCACAGCCGCGAGGUGAGGGAGGUGCCAUCGUCCCCAUCGUUCCAGACUGCAGGUGGAGGAGCCUCCCCAGGGCCACGCUUCGAGGAAGGGGUGGAGCCGUCUCUCAGCCAGGCGGCCGGGACAGAAGACUGAGCUCUUCCCACCGUGCACCCCGUGCACAGGAGCAGCACAUGGGGAAAACAAACCUCGGGGAAAAAGGCACUGAAGGACGAGUGAGGUCAGUGGAGACCCAGGCUGGCACCAGAAGGCUGCAGGGACAAGGUGUGGCGAGGCCUCGGAGCAGAGUGGGGCUGACCUGGCCGCGCUGAGGACAGAGGCGUCGGGACAGGAGGGGCCGGCGUGCUGUGGGGCGACAGCACCCCUAACAGAGCCGUGAGGCUGGCCGUCUCCAGUGGACUCUUCCUACGUCUGCCCCUCGUUUCUUUCUCUCUGGUUUUCCUUAAGAAGAAACCAAGUGCAAACGCCUGCUGUAAGAUCAUAUAGCACCCAGAUAUGCAUAAAGCAGAGACUUAAGGCCGACACCACAACUUUAGUUACUGACGGAGGCCUUUCUUCCUCCCUGUGUACUUCAACGGGCCUUACCAUUUUACGUCUUUGAUAACCUACCUUACCUGAAUUUAAGUCAAGCUGUUUGAAUUGUGUUAAUAGUUAUUCCUUAUUUUAAUUGAAUGAGAGGAUUUUCCCCUUGGUUCACACCCUGACUAUUGAACUCUGGCAGUCUAUAACAAUACGUGGCAAAGACGUUACAGAACAGGAAGUCCAAACUUAUUAAUGGGCUGUAUUCUAGAACCUCACUGCAAAUUAGCUGUUUGGAACCUGGAGUUUAUCUUCCCAUGGAAAUAGUGGUUAAAUUCCCAGCGGGCCUACAAAAGCUUGCUUAAGCAGGAAGGCAGCAGAAAUGAACAGUCCCCUUUGUGCUGACCUCUGCCGGUUACUCUGAGGGCUCUAUAGAUUUCUCUUCUUACUACAAUGUUUCAGCUAAGCACCACUUUUGGGACACAGUUUUUUCACUAUAAAUUAUAGAAAAGGUUGAAUAAAUUAUAGAAAAUGCUAUCAGUUAUAAUUCUGCCCAAGUUCGAUCUUUAAUACUCUUUAGGGUGUUUUCUUUUUACCAGUCAUUCCUUGGAGCACGGCCGCAGUUGGAGAGUUGUUUUCCUCAGCCUAAGGUCAGGAGUGGACAGAAGGCCCUGAGGAUGCGCAUGGCCCGGGCUGCAAUGUCACACGCUCUGCCUGCACGAAGGGGAGGCGGUGCAGUGGCACAGGGGUGUGUCUUCCCUGCUGCCACCAGUGGCCAUCCCAUUCCUGGAGGAGCUUUUGGCCCUUGUGGGGAUUUACAAAGAAAAGAUUUCCCUGGUUUCUGGCUUGGCAUCAGAUGGUAGUUGGCAGGUCUCAGCGCCCUGGCUCAGGGGGUAGACCUCGGAGACCACCUGAGCACGUGUGCUUUGACUACAGAUGAACGUGUAUCACAAACUUCAUACUCAGAAGGUCUAAAGCUAUGAUGUGGAUGUCUGCCAAACACAGUGCUUGUCUCAGACACAUUUUCUUGCAGGGCACAGUAACCACAAUAAAACCAUAAUCUUUGUUUUAGAUAGAAACAUUACCAACAAAUGUUUCCAAAACAAAAAUGCUUAAAGUGAAAAAAGUUUUGUCUACAGCCAUCAAAAUAGUGUGGUUUUGAAGACUUCUCGGCCACGCACAAUCCCCACUUCACUUCUACCUUUGACCUCUUUGGGAGUCUUCACACCAGCCAGGGAUCCUGGGAUGAUGUCAGAGUCUGUCUUUAGAAAUGUUAGAAAAACAUUUGUAUGAUUAGGGAAGGUUUAUAUCCGCC
ensembl:lncRNA